UAGGGAAUCUUCGGCAAUGGACGGAAGUCUGACCGAGCAACGCCGCGUGAGUGAAGAAGGUUUUCGGAUCGUAAAGCUCUGUUGUAAGAGAAGAACGAGUGUGAGAGUGGAAAGUUCACACUGUGACGGUAUCUUACCAGAAAGGGACGGCUAACUACGUGCCAGCAGCCGCGGUAAUACGUAGGUCCCGAGCGUUGUCCGGAUUUAUUGGGCGUAAAGCGAGCGCAGGCGGUUAGAUAAGUCUGAAGUUAAAGGCUGUGGCUUAACCAUAGUACGCUUUGGAAACUGUUUAACUUGAGUGCAAGAGGGGAGAGUGGAAUUCCAUGUGUAGCGGUGAAAUGCGUAGAUAUAUGGAGGAACACCGGUGGCGAAAGCGGCUCUCUGGCUUGUAACUGACGCUGAGGCUCGAAAGCGUGGGGAGCAAACAGGAUUAGAUACCCUGGUAGCCCACGCCGUAAACGAUGAGUGCUAGGUGUUAGACCCUUUCCGGGGUUUAGUGCCGCAGCUAACGCAUUAAGCACUCCGCCUGGGGAGUACGACCGCAAGGUUG
rnacentral:rRNA from 1 species